rfam:Microvirga aerilata strain BSC39 scf7180000028480, whole genome shotgun sequence.
ACCGGGGUCCGGGCCCCUCUGACAGUCUGCCCAAGGCUGUGAUGUCGGACUCUCUCA